rnacentral:lncRNA from 1 species
GUGUCUAAUCUUACCUGACAAGCAGUAAAUACAACAAACUAACAGAAAUGAUAAUAUUAACUAUUAAUCCACCAAAGUUUAAUGUUAGUUCUGCAUACAUUGUAGCUCAUGGCUAUGCUCCAGAGGUUCUUGAGUUUCUUCCUACUUAACCGUUUCUAUAAUAUAAUAAAGGAAUGAGCUACACAGCUCAGUAAAAUCAAUUUAAACUUAAACCAAAAGAAUUGAAAUAGAUAUAGAUAAAUUCCUCAUUUUUCCUCAAUGACUUCCUUCACCCAAAUCAUUCUCAGGUCUAUCUCAUACUCAGCCCAGGACCUGUCCAUUUCUCCAACUUAGUACCCUUGUAUCAUGAAGAUUUAUAACAACAACUCCGUGCUUCUACUCCAACUUGCAACUUCUCGAUUUUGACUUUUUUUUUCUCUCUUGCAGAUUCCUUGUCUUUUUCUCUUUUUUCCAACUAAUUUCAAUCAUUUCAAUCUACAUAAUAGAUUAUGCAAAUUUUAAAAAAUGAUCCACAUUUAACAUACUUGCAUUUUCACCAGAUUAUAACACACACACAUCGACCAUGAGGGCCACGCACACAAACACACACAUCUUGCACUUAGCAUACACGACACAACCCUUUUGGACCUUCAUUUCUCGGCCACAUUUCUUGUCUCAUAUACAACACACAUCUGGGACAUCUACUCCCCUUCAGACCCUCUAUUAUCUGGUCUACUCUACUGACUAAUCACUAGUCAGCUGAUACACAUCACCACGACCAAUACUGGCCACACUCACACCAUAAAAAAGGAAACAACAUACAGAAAGAUGUGGAUUAGUCCUAGUUUAAUCUUAUUUAAUAUUUACUCUCUAGUUUUUUAUCAUUUAUUGUUCUCAAUAUACCACACUACUACCCAGUCCAUUCACGACUCCAUAUUCAACUCCUUUCAUACCCAUUCAUCAUUAUUACUAUUCUAUUAUCACCCUCAUUUGUUGAUUUGGUCACUUAAUGAUAUGGGUCACCUGAAAAUUCUUUAGUUCAUCUAUGAGCAAUAAGUAUGCAAAAUCACUAUUGAACUCAUACCAGAAUCAGUUCCACGACCUCAUAAAUGGCCACAUACACACCACCAGUGAACAUGUUGUAAUUUAUUUAUUUUGACAGUACAUUGAUUUCAGUUAGGCCAUUUUAUCAUUUCCCUUUCUACAUUCUACUUCUAGUUUGGUUCAAACUUCAUCUAUUGGGUCCUCCCUUCCCCUUUCCUUCUGUUUCCCUAGCACCACGGUAUGUUAUUUAUCUUUCAACCCUAUUGUUCUCCAUAUUUUCCUUAUUUCCACCCCUUUGUAGGCCCUUAAUCGCAUCAACUACUUAUUGAUAUAUGUGUAUCUGAUCUCAUCAUGUUCCCUUAUGAGGUCUACUAGUUGAUUUUUACCGAUCUGUAUAGUACAAGUUUGAUCUAUCCCUAAACCCCCAAACUUAACUCAGAUUGAAAGUUAUACCCACUGUACAUGAAUUAAUUAUUAUCAGAACCGUCCUUACCACAAGACUU